GACGAACGCUGGCGGCGUGCUUAACACAUGCAAGUCGAACGGAAAGGCCCUGCUUUUGUGGGGUGCUCGAGUGGCGAACGGGUGAGUAACACGUGAGUAACCUGCCCUUGACUUUGGGAUAACUUAAGGAAACUGGAGCUAAUCCCGGAUAGGAGCUCCCGCCGCAUGGUGGGGGUUGGAAAGUUUCGGCGGUUGGGGAUGGACUCGCGGCUCAUCAGCUUGUUGGUGGGGUAGUGGCUUACCAAGGCCUUGACAGGUAGCCGGCCUGGGAGGGUGACAGGCCAAGUUGGAACGGAAAUGAGGCCCAGACUCGUACGGGAGGCGACGGAGCGGAAGGGUGCACAAGGGACGGAGGGCUGGUGCAGCACCGCCGCGUGGGGGAUGACGGCCUUCGGGUUGUAUACCACUUUCGCCUGUGACGAAGCGUGAGUGACAGUAAUGGGUAAAGAAGCACCGGCUAACUACGUG
rnacentral:rRNA from 1 species